UACAUAGGGGGCAAGCGUUAUCCGGAAUUAUUGGGCGUAAAGAGUGCGUAGGUGGUUUAUUAAGUCUGGUGUGAAAUCUUGCAGCUUAACUGCAAUGGGUCAUUGGAAACUGGUAAACUUGAGUACGGUAGAGGUAAGUGGAAUUCCAAGUGGAGCGGUGGAAUGCGUAGAGAUUUGGAGGAACACCAAUGGCGAAGGCAGCUUACUGGGCCGGUACUGACGCUGAUGCACGAAAGCGUGGGGAGCAAACAGG
rnacentral:rRNA from 1 species